GGGCCCGUAGCUCAGUGGACAGAGUCCCUGGUUCCGGACCAGGAUGUCGCGGGUUCAAAUCCCGUCGGGUCCGC
rnacentral:tRNA from 1 species